AGAGUUUGAUCCUGGCUCAGAGCGAACGCUGGCGGCAGGCCUAACACAUGCAAGUCGAACGGACCCUUCGGGGUUAGUGGCGGACGGGUGAGUAACACGUGGGAACGUGCCUUUAGGUUCGGAAUAGCUCCUGGAAACGGGUGGUAAUGCCGAAUGUGCCCUUCGGGGGAAAGAUUUAUCGCCUUUAGAGCGGCCCGCGUCUGAUUAGCUUGUUGGUGGGGUAAUGGCCCACCAAGGCUACGAUCAGUAGCUGGUCUGAGAGGAUGACCAGCCACAUUGGGACUGAGACACGGCCCAAACUCCUACGGGAGGCAGCAGUGGGGAAUCUUGCGCAAUGGGCGAAAGCCUGACGCAGCCAUGCCGCGUGUAUGAUGAAGGUCUUAGGAUUGUAAAAUACUUUCACCGGUGAAGAUAAUGACUGUAGCCGGAGAAGAAGCCCCGGCUAACUUCGUGCCAGCAGCCGCGGUAAUACGAAGGGGGCUAGCGUUGCUCGGAAUUACUGGGCGUAAAGGGAGCGUAGGCGGACAUUUAAGUCAGAGGUGAAAUCCCGGAGCUCAACUCCGGAACUGCCUUUGAUACUGGGUGUCUUGAGUGUGAGAGAGGUAUGUGGAACUCCGAGUGUAGAGGUGAAAUUCGUAGAUAUUCGGAAGAACACCAGUGGCGAAGGCGACAUACUGGCUCAUUACUGACGCUGAGGCUCGAAAGCGUGGGGAGCAAACAGGAUUAGAUACCCUGGUAG
rnacentral:rRNA from 1 species